AUUGAACGCUGGCGGCAGGCUUAACACAUGCAAGUCGAACGAGUGGCGGACGGGUGAGUAAUGCAUGGGAAUCUGCCUUAUGGAGGGGGAUAACGACUGGAAACUGUCGCUAAUACCGCGUACCAUCGGAUGUGCCCAAAUGGGAUUAGGUAGUGGGUGGGGUAAAGGCCUACCCAGGCGACGAUCUCUAGCUGGUCUGAGAGGAUGACCAGCCACACCGGAACUGAGACACGGCCCAGACUCCUACGGGAGGCAGCAGUGGGGAAUAUUGCACAAUGGGAGCAAGCCUGACGCAGCCAUGCCGCGUGAAUGAAGAAGGCCUUCGGGUUGUAAAGUACUUUCGGUGGGGAGGCGUUACUCACAGAAGAAGCACCGGCUAACUCCGUGCCAGCAGCCGCGGUAAUAC
rnacentral:rRNA from 1 species